GGACGAACGCUGGCGGUGUGCUUCACACAUGCAAGUCGAACGAGGUAGCAAUACCUAGUGGCGGACGGGUGAGUAACGCGUGGGAAUCUGCCUUUAGAUGGGGGAUAACGGGUCGAAAGACUCGCUAAUACCGCAUAUGACGAAAGUUGAAAGGAGUAAUCCGUCUAAAGAUGAGCCCGCGUCCGAUUAGCUAGUUGGUAGAGUAAAAGCCUACCAAGGCGACGAUCGGUAGCUGGUCUGAGAGGAUGAUCAGCCACAAUGGGACUGAGACACGGCCCAUACUCCUACGGGAGGCAGCAGUGGGGAAUUUUACGCAAUGGGCGAAAGCCUGACGUAGCGACACCGCGUGAGCGAAGAAGCCCCUUGGGGUGUAAAGCUCUGCCAGCUGGAACGAAAAAAUGACGGUACCAGCAGAGGAAGCAUCGGCUAACUACGUG
rnacentral:rRNA from 1 species